UACGGGGGGGGCAAGCGUUGUUCGGAAUUACUGGGCGUAAAGGGCGCGUAGGCGGUUUGCUAAGUUGGAUGUGAAAACUCUGGGCUUAACCCAGAGCCUGCAUCCAAAACUGGCAAACUUGAGUACUGGAGGGGAAAGCGGAAUUCCUGGUGUAGCGGUGAAAUGCGUAGAUAUCUGGAGGAACACCGGUGGCGAAGGCGGCAUCCUGGACCGACACUGACGCUGAGGAGCGAAAGCCAGGGGAGCAAACGGG
rnacentral:rRNA from 1 species